CCUACGGGGUGCAGCAGUGAGGAAUAUUGGUCAAUGGACGAGAGUCUGAACCAGCCAAGUAGCGUGAAGGAUGACUGCCCUAUGGGUUGUAAACUUCUUUUAUAUGGGAAUAAAAUGUUCCACGUGUGGGAUUUUGUAUGUACCAUAUGAAUAAGGAUCGGCUAACUCCGUGCCAGCAGCCGCGGUAAUACGGAGGAUCCGAGCGUUAUCCGGCUUUAUUGGGUUUAAAGGGAGCGUAGGUGGAUUGUUAAGUCAGUUGUGAAAGUUUGCGGCUCAACCGUACAAUUGCAGUUGAAACUGGCAGUCUUGAGUACAGUAGAGGUGGGCGGAAUUCGUGGUGUAGCGGUGAAAUGCUUAGAUAUCACGAAGAACUCCGAUUGCGAAGGCAGUUCACUGGACUGCAACUGACACGGAGGCUCGAAAGUGUGGGUAUCAAACAGGAUUAGAUACCCCAGUAGUC
rnacentral:rRNA from 1 species